UCGCUUUGGGAGGAGCUCGCUUACUAUCAGCUUGUUGGUAGGGUAAUAGCCUACCAAGGCUAUGACGGUUAGGGGGUGUGAGAGCAUGACCCCCAGCAUUGGCACUGAAACACUGGCCAAACACCUACGGGUGGCUGCAGUCGAGAAUCUUCCACAAUGGGGGAAACCCUGAUGGAGCGAUGCUGCGUGCGGGAUGAAGGCCUUCGGGUUGUAAACCGCUUUUGUAGGGGACGAAAUUUUUGACGGUACCCUUUCGAAUAAGAGGUUGCUAACUCUGUGCCAGCAGCAGCGGUAAUACAGAGACCUCAAGCGUUAUCCGGAUUUACUGGGCGUAAAGCGUCUGUAGGGGGUUUAUUAAGUUCCAAGUAAAAUUUCAAGGCUCAACUUUGAAUUCGCUUGGAAAACUAAUAAACUGGAGUCUAGCAGAGGUGCAUGGAACUUGUGGUGUAGGAGUGAAAUCCGUUGAUAUCACAAGGAACACCAAAGGCGAAGGCAUUGCACUGGGCUAGCACUGACCCUGAGAGACGAAAGCGUGGGGAGCAAAACGGAUUAGAUACCCGUGUAGUCCACGCCCUAAACGAUGAAUGCUAAAUGUUCGGGGAUUCGGCCCCCUGGGUGUUACAGCUAACGCGUUAAGCAUUCCGCCUGGGAAGUACGGCCGCAAGGCUAAAACUCAAAGGAAUAGACGGGGAUCCGCACAAGCGGUGGAGCGUCUGGUUUAAUUCGACAGUAAGCGUGGUACCUCACCAGGGUUUGACAUCCCUUGACAGCCUUGGAAACAAGGUUUCCUUCGGGCAAGGUGACAGGUGCUGCAUGGUCGUCGUCAGUUCGUGCCGUGAGGUGUUCCGUUAAGUCGGGAAACGAACGAAACCCCUAUUGCAUGUUACAAUUUCUCAUGCAAGACUGCCCGGAUAUACUGGGAGGAAGGUGGGGAUGACGUCAGAUCUGCAUGGUCCUUAUACCCUGGGCGACACAGGCGCUACAAUGGCAGAGACAAAGGGUUGCAAAACCGCAAGGUGAAGCUAAUCCCAAAAACUUUGUCUAAGUUCGGAUUGAAGGCUGCAAUUCGCCUUCAUGAAGCUGGAAUCGCUAGUAAUCGUGAAUCAGCCACGUCACGGUGAAUAUGUUCCCGGAUCUUGUACUCACCGCCCGUCACACCAAGAGAGUUGGUAGCUCCCGAAGCGUCCCGUUUUAGCGGGGC
rnacentral:rRNA from 1 species